rnacentral:rRNA from 1 species
AGCAGCCGCGGUAAUUCCAGCUCCAAUAGCGUAUAUUAAAGUUGUUGCAGUUAAAAAGCUCGUAGUUGAAUUUCGGGGUUAGUAGGCUGGUCAUGCCUCUGGUAUGUACUGGUCUCACUGAUUCCUCCUUCCUGAUGAACCGUAAUGCCAUUAAUUUGGUGUUGCGGGGAAUUUGGACUGUUACUUUGAAAAAAUUAGAGUGUUUAAAGCAAGCUAACGCUUGAAUACAUUAGCAUGGAAUAAUGAAAUAGGACGUUCGAUCCUAUUUUGUUGGUUUCUAGGAUUGACGUAAUGAUUAAUAGGGAUAGUUGGGGGCAUUAGUAUUCAAUUGUCAGAGGUGAAAUUCUUGGAUUUAUUGAAGACUAACUACUGCGAAAGCAUUUGCCAAGGAUGUUUUCAUUAAUCAAGAACGAAAGUUAGGGGAUCGAAGACGAUCAGAUACCGUCGUAGUCUUAACCAUAAACUAUGCCGACUAGGGAUCGGAUGAUGUUAAUUUUUUAAUGACUC